GAGGGUCUAGCUCAGUGGUAGAGCAUGAACUUAGCAUGCACAAGGUCCUGGGUGCAAUCCCCAGUACCUCCA
rnacentral:tRNA from 1 species